GACGAACGCUGGCGGCGUGCUUAACACAUGCAAGUCGAACGAAGUGGCGAACGGGUGAGUAACGCGUAAUCAACCUGCCCUUCAGAGGGGGACAACAGUAGGACACGACGGCUAAUACCGUAUACUGAGGAAGGGGAUUGCGUCGGAUUAGCUAGUUGGAGGGGUAACGGCCCACCAAGGCGAUGAUCAGUAGCCGGUCUUGGAGGAUGAACGGCCACAUUGGGACUGAUACACGGCCCAGACUCCUACGGGAGGCAGCAGUGGGGAAUCUUUCGCAAUGGACGAAAGUCUGACGGGGCAACGCCGCGUGAGUGAUGACGGCCUUCGGGUUGUAAAGCUCUGUUAAUCGGGACGCGGUACCGGAAUAGAAAGCCACGGCUAACUACGUGCCAACAGCCGCGGUAAUUC
rnacentral:rRNA from 1 species